rnacentral:rRNA from 1 species
UACGGAGGGUGCGAGCGUUGUCCGGAAUCACUGGGCGUAAAGGGCGCGUAGGUGGCCUGUGGAAGGCUGCGGUGAAAGCCCGGCGCUCAACGCCGGGUCGGCCGUGGAUACUCUCGGGCUUGAGCUCACUAGAGGCAGAUGGAAUUCCGGGUGUAGCGGUGGAAUGCGUAGAGAUCCGGAAGAACACCGGUGGCGAAGGCGGGUCUCUGGGCAGUAACUGACGUUGAGGAGCGAAAGCGUGGGGAGCGAACAGG